rnacentral:rRNA from 1 species
UACGAGGGGGGCGAGCGUUGUUCGGAAUUAUUGGGCGUAAAGGGUGCGUAGGCGGUUUGGUAAGUCUGAUGUGAAAUCUAUGGGCUCAACUCAUAGUCUGCAUCGGAAACUGCCGGGCUUGAGUGUGGGAGAGGUGAGUGGAAUUCCUGGUGUAGCGGUGAAAUGCGUAGAUAUCAGGAGGAACACCUGUGGCGAAAGCGGCUCACUGGACCAUAACUGACGCUGAUGCACGAAAGCCAGGGGAGCAAACAGG